rnacentral:rRNA from 1 species
UCGAGGAUCUUCGGCAAUGGGCGCAAGCCUGACCGAGCGACGCCGCGUGAGCGAUGAAGGCCAUUAGGUUGUAAAGCUCUGUCGAGGGGGAGCAAGCCGCAAGGUUGAGCGAUCCCUGGAGGAAGCACGGGCUAAGUUCGUGCCAGCAGCCGCGGUAAGACGAACCGUGCGAACGUUGUUCGGAAUCAUUGGGCUUAAAGGGCGCGUAGGCGGGUGUUCAAGUCCGGGGUGAAAUCCUCCAGCUCAACUGGAGAAGAGCCCCGGAUACUGUUCACCUGGAGAGAGGUAGGGGCACAUGGAACUUCCGGUGGAGCGGUGAAAUGCGUAGAGAUCGGAAGGAACGCCGGUGGCGAAAGCGAUGUGCUGGAUCUUUUCUGACGCUGAGGCGCGAAAGCUAGGGGAGCAAACG